CUUAAUUAAUUCUGCGACGUCCUUCCCGCUCGAUCUCUUAGGGCGGUCAAAGGGCGAGAUCAAAGAGAGAUAAGCCGGUGGCGGUCUCGGAACCGCCGGACGAAAACUUACGAGAUAGGCAGAGGGCCAGGCGCUAGCAGUAACCCGCUGAAGAAAAUUUACGACUAGCUGCACUCGGAGAAGCCAUGCGAAGGGGCCGAAGGACGCGGGUUCAAUUCCCGCCACCUCCACCA
rnacentral:tmRNA from 1 species